rnacentral:rRNA from 1 species
UACAGAGGUCCCAGCGUUGUUCGGAUUCACUGGGCGUAAAGGGUGCGUAGGUGGUUGGGUAAGUCCGAUGUGAAAUCUCCGAGCUUAACUCGGAAACAGCAUCGGAUACUAUUCGGCUUGAGGGGUGGAGGGGGGACUGGAAUUCUCGGUGUAGCAGUGAAAUGCGUAGAGAUCGAGAGGAACACCAGUGGCGAAGGCGAGUCCCUGGACAACUCCUGACACUGAGGCACGAAAGCUAGGGGAGCAAACAGG